GACGAACGCUGGCGGCGUGCUUAACACAUGCAAGUCGAACGGAAAGGCCCUGCUUUUGUGGGGUGCUCGAGUGGCGAACGGGUGAGUAACACGUGAGUAACCUGCCCUUGACUUUGGGAUAACUUCAGGAAACUGGGGCUAAUACCGGAUAGGAGCUCCUGCUGCAUGGUGGGGGUUGGAAAGUUUCGGCGGUUGGGGAUGGACUCGCGGCUUAUCAGCUUGUUGGUGGGGUAGUGGCUUACCAAGGCUUUGACGGGUAGCCGGCCUGAGAGGGUGGCCGGCGACAUGGGGACUGAGAGACGGCGCAGACUCCUACGGGAGGCAGCAGUGGAGAAUAUGGCACAAUGGGCGGAAGCCUGAUGCAGCAACGCCGCGUGCGGGAUGACGGCCUUCGGGUGGUAAACCGCUUUCGCCUGUGACGAAGCGUGAGUGACGGUAAUGGGUAAAGAAGCACCGGCUAACUACGUG
rnacentral:rRNA from 1 species